ACUCAAAGGAAUUGACGGGGGCCCGCACAAGCAGCGGAGCAUGUGGUUUAAUUCGACGCAACGCGAAGAACCUUACCUGGGCUUGACAUGACCGUCAUACCCGUGGAAACACGGGGUCAGUUCGGCUGGACGGCCACAGGUGGUGCAUGGCUGUCGUCAGCUCGUGUCGUGAGAUGUUGGGUUAAGUCCCGCAACGAGCGCAACCCCCGUCGUAUGUUGCCAGCAUUUAGUUGGGGACUCAUGCGAGACUGCCGGUGACAAACCGGAGGAAGGUGGGGAUGACGUCAAGUCAUCAUGCCCCUUAUGUCCAGGGCUACACACGUGCUACAUUGGCGCGUACAGAGGGCUGCGAUACCGCGAGGUGGAGCGAAUCCCUUAAAGCGCGUCUCGGUUCGGAUUGCAGGCUGAAACUCGCCUGCAUGAAGGCGGAGUUGCUAGUAAUCGCGGAUCAGCAUUGCCGCGGUGAAUACGUUCCCGGGCCUUGUACACACCGCCCGU
rnacentral:rRNA from 1 species